rnacentral:rRNA from 1 species
AACGAACGCUGGCGGCAUGCCUAACACAUGCAAGUCGAACGAGACCUUCGGGUCUAGUGGCGCACGGGUGCGUAACGCGUGGGAACCUGCCCUUAGGUUCGGAAUAACUCCCCGAAAGGGGUGCUAAUACCGGAUAAUGUCUUCGGACCCAAGAUUUAUCGCCUUUGGAUGGGCCCGCGUUGGUUUAGCUAGUUGGUAGGGUAAAAGCCUACCAAGGCGACGAUCCAUAGCUGGUCUGAGAGGAUGAUCAGCCACACUGGGACUGAGACACGGCCCAGACUCUUACGGGAGGCGGCAGUGGGGAAUAUUGGACAAUCGGCGAAAGCCUGAUCCAGCAAUGCCGCGUGAGUGAUGAAGGCCUUAGGGUUGUAAAGCUCUUUUACCCGGGAUGAUAAUGACAGUACCGGGAGAAUAAGCUCCGGCUAACUCCGUG